UGGUCUCCUAAACAUUUUGAUCUUCUG
rnacentral:piRNA from 2 species